rnacentral:rRNA from 1 species
UACGUAGGGGGCAAGCGUUGUCCGGAUUUAUUGGGCGUAAAGAGCGUGUGAGCGGCCAUGUAGGUCCGUUGUGAAAACUCGAGGCUCAACCUCGAGACGCCGAUGGAAACCAUGUGGCUAGAGUCCGGAAGAGGAGAGUGGAAUUCCUGGUGUAGCGGUGAAAUGCGCAGAUAUCAGGAAGAACACCCGUGGCUAAGGCGGCUCUCUAGUACGGUACUGACGCUGAGACGCGAAAGCGUGGGGAGCGAACAGG